AGGCUACUAAUUAAUGGAGAUGCCUUCCAAGUGGCUCGCCGGUGUUUGGCACUGCAAACUUUAUGGACGUGUUGUUUUACGAUUGAAUAAUCGAGAGCAUUUGCAAAAUGUUGCUUUUGUACCUUUACUAUUGUUUGAUGUCGUCACAAUUAACCGAACCUUCUGAAGAUUCUUUGUUAACAAUACAACAUAGGCUACAAUGAACAGAACUGAGCUGAAGGGGAGAUCAUGCUAUAACUAUUCCUUGGCACCGACUUCCAAACCAUUAUUGGUUUGUCUGAGAGGUUACAUUGGCUUGACAUCACUGAGUAUAUAACUUUGCAGAGAUGGAUUCCAAGGGUACCAGUGAUUUUUAUUUUACACCCAGCAGUCAGUGUAACUCAUUCAUGGUUGAUGUAUCUGACCCAGGUAGGCCUAACAGUUCUCUCAGACCACUGAUUUUCAUGGAAGACACGCAGUGGAUUAAUACUGGGGAUGAUGAUGAUGAUGAUGAUGAUGAUGUAUCUAGUUCUGCUGCUAUGCAUGGGAAUGCAUCUUCUCCUCACAGCAGUGACCCACAGGCAGCACAACUGGAAGAUGAAUUCAGGCAGUUUUUAGUGGAAAGGGGUACUUACAAAGAGCUAGAAAGAACCGCCUCCAGGGUCCUACUUAAACUCCUGCAAACCAAAAGGGCAGAUGGAAGUCCUCUCUUUGUUUUGAAUAAAGAAGAGGUUUCGUCUACGGAGAACAAUUGUAGGUCUACUUUAGGUAAUAGCUCUUUAUCACAGAACUUCACCAAUGAAUCAGUUCCACCUUCACUGAAGAAGUCAGCAAAGAAGAGGAUUCUGCCGUCUACUGGUACUAAGUCAGAUGGGUGCUCCAAAAACCAAGGCAAAGAGUCAAAAAGUCAAAACAACUGUCAAACAUUGGAGCGUAAAGGGACAACGAUUCCAUCAAUUCCAGUGGAAUGGCUUGACCAGACAUCAAGUCAAGGACCUGCUGGGUGCAGUGGACAACAAACAGACACAAGCAGGAUUUUGUCAGAUAUCCUGCAGUCAGCCUUCAUCAGUCUAAACCGACAGACAAGAAUAGAAAUGCAUCUCUCCAACCAGCUCGGCAUAAUAGUCAAACCUCCCAUUGGAUCCACUAAAUGAGUUGCCUAGCCUAUUACCUGAGCAGUGAUGGACAAUAGGCCUAUCUUUCUUGAUGAAAUAAAUACUUGCAUGCA